GAUAAAUAGGAAGUGAUGCAACUAGCUUGUGAGGCAGGUAAUGCCGUUGAUAUAACCAUAACCCACAACCUCCAGGAGGGAGCAAACUUUAUGAAAUCUACAGUUCGAAGAAAAUGUAUAAUACAGACACAUAACCAAGCGUUGUGUUUUCUGCAACGAUGCUGUGUUUGGGUGUAAAUGCGGCGAGGUCGUCGGUGUCUUUACAAAAGCUGUGCAUCCUCUCCCUGCUACACACAAGACAUCGGACCUAUCAUUGCCCCACACAGUCUUCGAGACGUCGUGGUGCUGCUCGCUGCCUCUCCACUGGACCCGCUCCUCCCACACUCCCUGACUCCCCCGAGUGCUCUGACACCGAGCCCAGCCGCAGUACCUCCGCCUGGUCCCCUGACCAGGGUCCGCCGCCGGCUCCCACCCACUGCUGCAUGAGUGGCUGCCAUAACUGUGUGUGGAUCGAACACGCGGAGCAGCUGCUGGCGUACUACAGCGACGGAGGCGACCGGGCGCUCGACGCCAUCGAGGAGAACGUCCACGACGAGAACCUUAAAACCUACCUCAAGAUGGAAGUUAGACUCCUAAAAAAGACGUGACAGAUUGACCGCCAGUGGCUUCGAUCACAGUGUUGUCAGGGAAUGAGUGUUGUGAGCAUUCUUACUAAAAAAAAAAAAAAAAAACACAUCACUGACUGAGUAGAAGCACUCCCACUCCAGUCACCGAUUUGAGCUCCACAUUUUCACGUCCUCCGGUGGGUCACACGGGUCACGUCUGCAGAACAUUUCAGGAAACUGACACGAGCUACCAGGUCGGCACGUGAAAAGUAAAGUGUCCUCCUUGGCUACUAGCAGCUGCGUGGAGCAGGCGAUAUCGUUUUUCUUCCCACUAUGGCCACGCCAAGACCCGCCCUUCAGUAGCUACUAUUGGCUAGGCGUCCAUGCUUGCGCAAGGUAACGUAACCUGAUUUGUUCAGUUCCUAUGCCCUGACCAACCUGCUAUCCUAACCUCAACCACUCGAGGUCAAAUGCCAAACCCCAACCAAUCGACCACUAUGGCCAAGUGGGUCUUGGCGUGGCCAUAGUGGGAUUCGUAAUUUUGCGUGGAGGGGUAGGGGGGCUGUGCGCGAUCACAGAAGGCUUGUAUCAUGUGGACUCGCCGACAGUUUUGUUGUCGUUACUUAGAAUUCCUGAUGGGGGAGACAGAAACUACGCACUAUAGCUUUAAGACUAUUUUAAUGAUGUAUUUGAAAGUUAUUUUUGAGAGUUGUUUGGUAAAUAAAUGUUCUUUCUGAGAUGA